rnacentral:rRNA from 1 species
UACGGAGGGUGCAAGCGUUGUUCGGAAUUACUGGGCGUAACGCGCACGUAGGCGGACUUGUAAGUCAGGGGUGAAAUCCUGGAGCUCAACUCCAGAACUGCCUUCGAUACUGGAGAGCUCGAGUCCGGGAGAGGUGAGUGGAACUGCGAGUGUAGAGGUGAAAUUCGUAGAUAUUCGCAAGAACACCAGUGGCGAAGGCGGCUCACUGGCCCGGUACUGACGCUGAGGUGCGAAAGCGUGGGGAGCAAACAGG